GGGGGCUGGCUGUCACGGAGGCGGCCCCGUCCUGGAGGGCACCUCGGGGCAGGUACUGACUUUCAUAGACAGGACCUCGGCCGGGAAUCGGGAAGGAUGGCCCCGGAAGUGAUAAGGCAGAAUUUCCAGGCAGGAGAAGUGGCAUUUAGGAGAACUGGCUAUUUAAGGGGGCGGUCAGAGCUGACACAGACAAAGCAUUCAUUGGCUGGGAAUGGCCGCCACCCAGUGGCUCUGAGAACUAGACUUGGAAGUCUGGCACUGGGAGCUGUGCCAACUUGGACCAAACUUUGGGCGCAAAGCACGACGUGGCAGACGAGGAACCACACUAGAACGAGCCACGCCUACCCAAGAUUUACAAGGCCGUCCUUUCCCUCAUGCAAUCGCAAUGGGAAAAGGAAACUAAGGCUCGGCCUCCCCUACUGAGCCUGGUUGGCGGAGGGGAGUCUCCAAGCCGCCGCCAUCUGGAGAACCAGCUUUGCAAGGACCCUCACUCACUACUCUUCGGCGGCCCCAAAGCCUCUGGGGGGCCCCCUAUGGCCACCACUUGCUCCUCGCCCAGGCAUCAUCUCAUGCCGCCGCCUCCCCCGGCCCUGGUGGAAGAAGCCAGCGCGGACCCCUGCCUCUCUGCCCCAGAAAGUCUUCGGAGAGAUGACUCUCUGCUGACAAGCUGGGGGAAGUUGGGGUACAGAGACCCCCGUUUUGCUGCUCAUCCCAGGGAAAUCCCGGCCCCACUCCUGACCUCAGACUCACUCCCACCCUCAAGUGGAUCGAGGUGGGGGUAGCUAGGGGCGCUGUCUCCAGUGACAAGGUCUCUGGGACCCCUCAUGGGCUCAAGACCCCCUCCCCCAGGCAGCAGCUGUGUGACUCAUCACCACCCCCUCUGCACCUCGGGCCCCCCCACUACAGCCGCCCCAUUCCCCGUCAGCGGCAGCCGGCUGCUGCGUCAGCCACUCACGCAGGGUGGUUAUUAAAGGAGAGAGACAUCA
rnacentral:antisense_RNA from 1 species